UUGCUCUUCAACGAGGAAUUCCUAGUAAGCGUGAGUCAUCAGCUCGCGUUGAUUACGUCCCUGCCCUUUGUACACACCGCCCGUCGCUACUACCGAUUGAACGGCUUAGUGAGGUCUUGGGAUUGGCGGCGGGGAGCCGGAAACGGCACCCUGUUGCUGAGAACUUGAUCAAACUUGGUCGUUUAGAGGAAGUAAAAGUCGUAACAAGGUUUCCGUAGGUGAACCUGCGGAAGGAUCAUUAUUGAAUUCCAAUUGGAUAAGAUAGCUGCUGGCUUUCGGGCAUGUGCGCAUCUUGUUCAUUUACCUCUCACCUCUGUGCAUUUUUCAUGGGACAAUCAGUGGUUGUUGGCUUCAUGGCUGAUGACUGCAGGUUGCUUCUGUGUACUUUAUAAACCUCAGAAUCAGUUUAGAAUGUAUAUCGUGUACCUACACAUUUAAAUACAACUUUCAGCAACGGAUCUCUUGGCUCUCGCAUCGAUGAAGAACGCAGCGAAAUGCGAUAAGUAAUGUGAAUUGCAGAAUUCAGUGAAUCAUCGAAUCUUUGAACGCAUCUUGCGCUCCUUGGUAUUCCGAGGAGCAUGCCUGUUUGAGUGUCAUGGUAUUCUCAAUUCUCUUGGUUUCUGCCGAGGUGAUAUUGGACUUGGAGGCUAUUGCUGGUAUCAUUCUUGAAGCCAGCUCCUCUUAAAUGAAUCAGUGUGAACAUUCACUUCAUACUUGGUGUGAUAAUUAUCUACACUAUGUUUGAGUGAUAGAGCUUCAUGCUUCGAAUCGUCGCAAGACACUGCUUUGACUUCCGACCUCAAAUCAGGUAGGAUUACCCGCUGAACUUAAGCAUAUCAAUAAGCGGAGGA
rnacentral:rRNA from 1 species